AAUUCGAGUCGCCUUCCCAAAUCCGAACGGUCCGGUGUGCGUCGAAGGCAGCUAGAGAGCAGAGAGCGAAGUGGAGGGCAGGAGAGCUGGAAGAGAUGGGUCUGAAGGCGGAGAAGGGAAGAUCUUCUGUUGCUAAGGCAGCGGUGAUCCAAUGCAACAACAGUGAUGCCAUCGAUCACUGGGCGUUUUUGGAAGAAAUCGAAGCCCCAAUGUGGGCAGACCUUACAAUGGAAGCUCCAUUCAUGGACCAAGAAGACAUUGACAGUGCUUGGUUUUUGGUAUCACAUUCGUUCCAUCAAAUGUCAUCUCAGAAACUGAAGAAAUACCUCCAUGGCAAAGAUAAAGAGAGAUUGCAUAAUUUGCGAUGCCACUCUCCUGAGGUUCCCGACUCUGUCUCGCGAUCUAGAGGCAAGCAUUACAAGAGCAGAAAGUGGUUGGAGAGUACGCGCGAGUCCACUGCUAAACAACACCCUGUUAGGAAAUUGGGUGCAACAAGUUUGCAGACAGAAAUAAAGAAAGAUCUUGCUCAUGAGACCUCAAGAAGCACAAUCACGAUAUGUUCAUUAUCAAGAACGCCAUCUGAGUGCUUACUGACUGAUAACGAAAUCUCCAUUACUGAAACGAAUAUCAUAUCUGGAAAGGCCCCAUCAAGCACUGCCAUGUCUAAGUAUCAGAAUUUAAGAUCCAAGGUGAGUGUUGGAUUUACAAGAAGCACUCCUAAGAGAGGAACUUUGAGGAUAGCCUGCAAAACUAGCAGUGCUAUCCAGCCAAACUUGACAGGCAAUAGGAAGACAUUAUGCUCCAGAAAAGAAAGAAACAAGACUGAAGAUCUCUUGCACAAGCUCAAUUCUUCAUCUGGCAAAUCCAGUGUUGGUUCUUCUAACAGCCUUGGAAGCGUACUUGAGAAUGCUCAUUCUACUAAUUCAGCAAAAAAUGGAAGGGACAAUGAAAGUAAGAAGUCACUAGCUAGUCUACCAAAGGUGCAUGAAAAGAAGAGUAAACAUAGAGUUCAACAUUUGCAGCAUCAAACUAUAGCAAGUAGUGCUAAAAUUGUCUGCAAAGAAUCAAAAUCCAAGGUUUUAGGUUCAAACAAAAUUAGGAAGCCUGCAAGUGGGUUCAACAAACCAAAAUCACAAACAAAUGUAGCUGUGACAAAACAGACAGUCGUUGCUGGUGCUGAAAGAAGUAAAUUUGUCUCUGUUUAACAAAGAAAAUAUUAUUAGAGGCAAGCUGCUAUAUCCCAGAUCUUCGAAACUAAACACAUAAACUAGGUAAAAUGCAAUGGAUGGAUAUGGUGCUUCAAUUGUAUAUAGAUCCCUCUGAGCUAUGAUUCCUUCCACCACCUUAGUCAUCAUACCUUGGGCGAAACAUGUGACUUUCCCAUAUAUUUUGAUAUCAUAUUGGUUUUUCUUGUUGAAGUCUUGGGAUUAUGUACUUUUCAAAUGCUUGAGUGGAUAUAAUGGCAGCUAAGUGUACAUUCCGUA